GAUGGUGUAGGGGUUAAGCGCGCAUCUACUAUGUACGGAGGCUACAGUCCUCGAGGCGGCUGUCCCGGGUUCGAGUCCUGGACCA